rnacentral:rRNA from 1 species
GACGAACCGUGCGAACGUUGUUCGGAUUCACUGGGCUUAAAGGGCGCGUAGGCGGGCGAUCAAGUCAGGGGUGAAAUCUUUCGGCUCAACCGGAAAAGUGCCCCUGAUACUGAUUGUCUUGAGGGAGGUAGGGGCAUGUGGAACUUCCGGUGGAGCGGUGAAAUGCGUAGAUAUCGGAAGGAACGCCGGUGGCGAAAGCGACGUGCUGGAUCUCUUCUGACGCUGAGGCGCGAAAGCCAGGGGAGCGAACGGG